AACGCUGGCGGCGUGCCUAACACAUGCAAGUCGAACGCGAAAGGGGCUUCGGCCCUGAGUAGAGUGGCGAACGGGUGAGUAACGCGUGGGUGAUCUACCUUCGAGUGGGGGAUAAGGUCCCGAAAGGGGCGUUAAUACCGCAUGAGGUUCUGGGUUUAAAAACCUGGAAACCAAAGCCGGGGACCGCAAGGCCUGGCGUUUAAAGAGGAGCCCGCGUCCGAUUAGCUAGUUGGCGGGGUAAGGGCCCACCAAGGCGACGAUCGGUAGCCGGCCUGAGAGGGCGGACGGCCACACUGGAAUUGAGACACGGUCCAGAUUCCUACGGGAGGCAGCAGUGGGGAAUUGUUCACAAUGGGCGCAAGCCUGAUGACGCAACGCCGCGUGGGGGAUGAAGGUUUUCGGAUUGUAAACCCCUGUCGAAUGGGACGAAUGGCCUUUGGGCUAAUCACCAGAGGAGUGACGGUACCGUUAAAGGAA
rnacentral:rRNA from 1 species